GGCUGGUCCGAGUGCAGUCGUAUUUACAACUAAUUACUCACAACCAGUUACAGAUUCCUUUGUUCCUUCUCCACUCCCACUGCUUCACUUGACUAGCCUUAA
rnacentral:Y_RNA from 1 species